rnacentral:lncRNA from 15 species
AGAGACAGUUUUCAGUUUUUCAGUCAGUCUUCAAACAACAGUGAACAGUGAACAGGUUUUUCUUGCUGUAAUGGUUCCUCCUGUUAUACUGGACAUUAAAGAUCUCUUCCUAAAGUACUUUCAAUGGAAGUGAUGAGGGGAACAAUCUACAGUCCUCCUUACAUGGAAACAUGUUUUCAGAAGUGUAUCUAAAGCUAAUAUCAGCUAAUAUGUGUUUAUAACUCCAUCAUUUAUUUAGAAAUCAUUUAUUGGGGGGUCUGCACCCUGCCUCUCAUGUACAGUGUGUCUGAGCUUUCUCACUAUCCUGCUGUCUGAUUAUGAUGGUUGAUCUGGGACAAGCUCCUUUACUUGUAGUUCCUCACUGUCAAUAACAACAAGUGUCAUCACUCCACUGCUGACUGACUCUGCUUGGGCUGAUAAAAUAAUCGCCCUUUUUUCCACAUCCUAAUCUCACUUUUCCUCUAAACUCAACCCAGAGCGCUCAAAUUACAGAAAACACUCAGUGUGGAAAUCACUGACCGAUAACUUGUUUUGUGUUGUUGAUAUGUGUUCAGGAGGACCAGUGAGAGAAUAUCUUCCAUCACAGAGGGACCAUGCUGGGGGCAACAAUGCUGAAGCAAUCCCGUUGGAAUAAUCACAGAAAAAUCAGGUUCAUACAGUCAGUACAGUCUGAAGGUAUGUGAGAGCUUUACAUUUGUAUUCACUGUAAACUGGAUGAUGAUAGCAGGUAGCUUCUCUUGUAUUAUCUGCGAGUACUCAGUGUGCAGUAAAAUGUCAACGUUGUACUUUUAUAAUGGAUAUUUAUGAAUUAAUGUUACUGCUGUAUUUCACUAUUUAUGGUUGAACUAAUUUGAAGUACUUUGUGGGUCAGUACAUAGCAGAGUUAGCAAUGUUUAAAGAAAAAAUACAGACAGUUAAAUCAUUUCAUCCAAAACUUCCUUCUAUGUGAAUAAAUAAGAACAACCCCAGGUUCUUCUUAAGCACUGUAGCCAGGCUGACAGAGAGUCACAGCUCUAUUGAGCCAUGUGUCCCCAUAACCCUGAGUAGCAACGACUUUAUGAGCUUCUUUUAUGAUAAAAUUAUUACUAUUAGAGACUAAAUUAAUUACCAAAUGCCCUCAACAGGUAUCGCUGUCUCUCCAAGUUCAGGAACUUUAACAAAUGUAAAAUCAUAUAUAUAUUUGGACGGU